UACAGAGGUCUCAAGCGUUGUUCGGAUUCAUUGGGCGUAAAGGGCGCGUAGGCGGCGAGGUAAGUCGGGUGUGAAAUCUCAGAGCUCAACUCUGAAACUGCACCCGAUACUGCUUUGCUAGAGGACUGGAGAGGAGAUUGGAAUUCACGGUGUAGCAGUGAAAUGCGUAGAGAUCGUGAGGAAGACCAGUGGCGAAGGCGGAUCUCUGGACAGUUCCUGACGCUGAGGCGCGAAGGCCAGGGGAGCAAAGCGGG
rnacentral:rRNA from 1 species